AUAAAGUCCUGGAAACAGGGAUUUGUUGUACUGGUAAUCAUUGCUUCAGCUCAGAAUGAAACACACCAUCAUUAUCUUACUGGCUUGUAUGCUGCUCUGCAUUGCCGUCUCUUGUUCAGCCGCUCUGCAGUGUUUCACCUGUAAAGAUCCGGCAGACACCCGCUGCUUAGAACAAACCCUGGAGACCUGCAGUGAUGGACAAGUGUGUUCCACAAACUCCAGCAGCUCUCUGCAAUCCUCCGCUAUUGAUAAUGACAGAGGACGCAUCCAUUUUAGCAUUUGGGACGUUGACAUUGAUAUCCGUUGGGGAAAAGACCGUACAGCAACCAACCCCAACGUUGUUUCAAACUCAAGUAAUAAUGAGAGGAUCGUGAAGGGAUGCAUGGAUGACCAUUUUUGUCAGUCAAGCCCCAAAAUGUCUUUGAAUAUCGGUUUCCAUCAAUUCACUUCUUCGUGCUGCAACUCAUCUGGCUGCAACAGUGACACUUUCUCUGACGACCCCCACAAUGGACUUGAGUGUUUUUCUUGCACUGAUCCAGAAGAUGAGGUUUGUAAUCAGGCUGUGAUCUGCCAGGGUGGUCAGGAUCACUGUCUUAAUGACACAGUGACAGCAAGUAAUGGUCGGUCUGUGACUCUUCGAGGAUGUGUCUCCAGGAGUAUCUGUGGUUCCGGUUCUGGUUCUGACUCUGGUUCUGUGUCCUGCUGUGAGGGAAGUCUCUGCAACAGAAACAGGGCUAUGAAUUCCGCUCAGCCUGUAGCACUUACAGUCCUCGCUCUGCUAGUUGGCAUAACAACCACCACACUUCUACAAUCAGUCGAUCAAUGAAUAUCUUGAUUGGGGUUUCUUGAGGAUUUUCAUAUUUUUCUCAUGAGGAUUAGUUACGUGGGCAUCUAUUUCUGGGGCUAUCACACUCUGUGUUGUCCAAAGUGUAACAACCUUGUCACUCCCUGACCCACUAGAGUACUGUGGGAUCUGUUGCUUGUUGCUCAUCAGAAGGCUGCUGAAUAUAACAAUUAUGACCAAAAAAAGACCACUUGAUUGAUGGUGUUGGACAGAAACUCUUCUGAAAUGAUUCAUUUCAUUUAUUAAACUUGGAGGUUGUGUUGAGUGAUGAAAUUAUAUUAUAUAAAUAUAUAUAUAAUAUAUUAUAUAUAUAAAUUAUGGGUAUUCUAACUUUCUUUUCUUUUAAUCUAGCCUGUUCGAUUACUGUAAAGCUCUUGGUGGUCUAAGCCGGGUUACUGUAAAGCUAUCGGUGGUCUAAGCCGGGUUACUGUAAAGCUCUUGGUUGUCUAAGCCGGGUUACUGUAAAGCUCUUGGUGGUCUAAGCCGGGUUACUGUAAAGCUCUUUGUGGUGUAGGCCAGGUUCCUGCAAAGCUCUUUGUGGUCUAGGCCAGGCUACUGUAAAGCUCUUUGUGGUGUAGGCCAGGUUCCUGCAAAGCUCUUUGUGGUCUAGGCCAGGCUACUGUAAAGCUCUUUGUGGUCUAGGCCAGGCUACUGUAAAGCUCUUUGUGGUCUAGGCCAGGCUACUGUAAAGCUCUUUGUGGUGUAGGCUAGGUUCCUGUAAAGCUCUUUGUGGUUUAGGCCAGGUUACUGUAAAGCUCUUUUUGGUCUAGGCCAGGUUACUGUAAAGCUCUUUGUGGUGUAGGCCAGGUUACUGUAAAGCUCUUUGUGGUGUAGGCCAGGUUACUGUAAAGCUCUUUGUGGUUUAGGCCAGGUUACUGUAAAGCUCUUUGUGGUGUAGGCCAGGUUCCUGUAAAGCUCUUUGUGACAACUGUUGAUGUAAAAGAGACUUACAUUUUAUUGAUUGAUGAAUUAACAAAUGUACAUCAACACUGGCAUUUAAUCAAACAUGUUAAUAAAUAAUAAUAAACAUUCAUACUACUUA